rnacentral:siRNA from 1 species
AGGCAGAAACAAGUUGAUAGUGCU